CUCCCUGCAUUGAUUGAGUCUUUUAAAUAGUAACUCAACCUCUCUAUUGCUACACACCACCACUCCCUGUCCCUCUGGAGGGCCACUGGUCCCGCCACAUUGGACUCAGCUGUCAGCUGCAGAAGCCCACAAACACUGGACAUGUUACCUAAGCAGAACCCUGCAAAGUUCCAAGCCAGGCUCAUGACUCAGUGGGGGAAGCAGUGUUUCUCCCUGAAUCAGCCCCAGCCAGGCCACAUCUGAGGCUUAGCCCAGCCAAGAGUCCAGCCACUGCCCAGCUGCCUGUGGACACACGGGCCCUGUGCUGUCUCAGCUGAGAGGUCCCCAUCUACUGACUCACUUGCACCUGGGGCUUCUUGGCUGGUCAUCUGGAAAGGUACAAACUGAAGUUUUCUUUAUCCAAGGCAAUCUUUUAGAAGUCACCCUACGUUUCUUCAAAGUGUCUGGACGCAGUGUGGAGCGUGGUUUAUUUCGUCCAUGUUGCGGCAGCCUGUGUUGGAACUCGCUGAGGUUUGAAGCCUGUCAUCAACACACAGACUGACAUGAACUUUCAAUGGGAGUCACAGAGGGCUGUACGGGCAAACAGGAGAAAUGACAGGGUACCAAAGACCGCCCUGUCAGCUGAAGGGCACUCUGGAUGCCUGUCUCUGAGCCCUCACACUCCUGUAACCUGUGAAGAGUGGGCAAGCAGAACAGGUGAUGGGUCAUGCAUCUUCCUGACACACUGUGAAGCAGGAAGAAACAGGAACAGUAGCUCUGUGUUACACGUAAGGAGCGAGAAGCACCAACAUGGUAAGGAAGAAGCCGAGAUCUAGGUUUGGAUGUUGGCUCUGCCACAGGCUGGGAAGAAUAACCCUAUGGCCUUUCUAUGGAUUUGUGUGAAAAUUGUAGUUAAUAAUUCCUUCCCCACAAAAUUUGUCACUAGGAUAAGAACCAAUAUAUGAAGCACCUCAAACUCACUAUACUUAUUAUUCAAUUUUCAAUUUUCUUUUUCUUUUCUUGUUUUGUUUUUUCGAGACAUGGUUUCUCUGUAUAGUCCUGGUUGUUCUGGAACUCACUUUGUAGACCAGGCUGGCCUUGAACUCAGAGAUCUGCCUGCCUCUGCCUCCUGAGUGCUGGGAUUAAAGGUGUGUCCACCAUGCCCAGCUCACUCAAUUUUCUUGAGUCAAAGACUCAAAGAUGUUCGGAAGCAUGUUCAAAGGCGCUCAGCUUGCAGAAGAAACCGGGGCCUGAAUGAGAACCUUGGUUCAAGAUGCAUUUACUGACCUCUGGGAUUUGAUCUUUUGACUAUGACGAGUGAGGUCUAUGCCCACAUUCAUAUUCCUAUCUGACAGAGAACACCAAAAGAGAUCUUUGGUUCUCUGUAUCUCUGCUUCCAGUUUCCCUCUUUCUAACUCUUUCUCUGUUCCGGAUGAUCUUAAACCUUCUUCCCCCAGCAAUCUCCUUUAGGAUAUAUUUUUAAAUUAAAAUUUAAAAAGCAGAUUCAAACAGCACAUUGAAUAGGAAUGAUGCCUUAUUAAAGAAAAUUGGUCAAUUAUAUAGGAGAAAAAUGUGAUAUGUAUUAAUAUAACAGCAAUUGUGUUUGAUUGACAAGAUUAGAUGCAAUUUUAUUCUGAUUUUUAAAAAGUGUGUGGUGUGUGGUGUGUGGUGUGUGGUGUGUGUGUGUGUGUGUGUGUGUGUGUGUGUGUGUGUGUGUCUAGACCAGAGAACAACUUUGGAUUUUGUUUCUCAGGUUGUUGUCCUGGAACUCACAAAGCAGGCUGCCUGGGCUUGCCAGGGAAGCCCCAGGAAUCUGCCUGUCUCCAUUGUCAUCUC
rnacentral:lncRNA from 1 species